rnacentral:rRNA from 1 species
AUUGAACGCUGGCGGCAGGCCUAACACAUGCAAGUCGAACGAGGGGCGGACGGGUGAGUAAUGUCUGGGAAACUGCCUGAUGGAGGGGGAUAACUACUGGAAACGGUAGCUAAUACCGCAUACCAUCAGAUGGGCCCAGAUGGGAUUAGCUUGUUGGUGGGGGAACGGCUCACCAAGUCGACGAACCCUACCUGGUCGGAGAGGAUGACCAGCCAAACUGGAACGGAGACACGGUCCAGACUCCUACGGGAGGCAGCAGUGGUGAAUAUUGCACAAUGGGCGCAAGCCUGAUGCAGCCAUGCCGAGUGUAUGAAGAAGGCCUUCGGGUUGUAAAGUACUUUCAGCGGGGAGGCGUUACCCGCAGAAGAAGCACCGGCUAACUCCGUGCCAGCAGCCGCGGUAAUUC